GUACCGUAAAUCGGUGUAAAGUUGGGAAGUACCAAAAGAGUGAAGGAUAUAUAUUGGAAACGCCAGCGCAAUGGCGCACCGAACUCAAAUUAGAAUAUGCAAAGACGAUUCAUCAAGGCAACGGCCAAAUGUAGUUGUAACAAGGCAACAGCGGAGAAUAAACUCGAAGGAGGGAGGAAGUCCGCUGGAUUAUGACGUACCUAUUUUAUCUAAGGAGCCAAUUGUUGCCAUUACACCAGUCGCCGUUGAUACGCCGGUCGUCACCGAAGUGGAAACGGAAGGACCGACAUUAAUACGGAAGAGGAAGCGAAAAAUUUCAGACAGUCGUUUGGAGACUGUUGUUGAACCCAGAAGAUCAAAGCGCCCACGUAAGACAAACCGUUCAAGUGACUACUUGUAUGAAUAAUCAUAUUUCGGAUGUGAAUUUAGAAAUAAGUUGAUGGAAUUUGAAACAACUGGAUUUAUUAUUGUAGUGUACAUAUCUGAUAAAUUGAAUCAGUUCGGAAUUUUAUAUUAUAUUCUAUUAAAAGGGGAAGAAUUAUAAUACCUGUGAACUAAAUGUACUUUGAGACUGUCAAAUGACAGUUCUGAUUCCGCGUUCCUUACGCAUUCGAUUGAGCCGAAUGGCUUUAACCGAUAUCUCAAUAAACGAGACGUUUAGUCUAAUCUGAAACUUAAGACAGAA